GCGUAACCAAGGAAACAAACAUCGUCGACCACCAAAUGCGUACAGCUUUGAUCGAUGUACUGAGGGAUUGUGCUCAAUUUAUCAUCAAUUAUGCCUAGGAACAUGGUCUCCCUCAGCCAGCUGCAGUCAAUAGAAAUAUCGGUGGACAGAUUAUCCUUCCUUGCUGUGAAAACAAACAAUCCCUUCAUAAAAAGUACAAGGAUGUCUGCACAGAUAACGGUAGGACUGCAGUUGGGCUGACAACAUUUAAAGGGGUGUGGCAAAAUUGUUGUCCAAAUAUCGAGUUUAUGUCUCCAAAAACUGAUGUUUGUCCGGUGUGUGAGCGACAUAAAGAUAACAUCCAAUCGGCUUCAACAGAAGAUGAAAAACUUGCUGCUUUAGACUAGUACGGUUCACAUUUUAAUAAAGUGAAGGCUGAACAACAGUUGUACAAUCAGUGCAUAAGCGUUACGAGAGCAGAGAUUGCUGAACAACCAGUCCCUUUGGUACCCGUAGCACCGAUGUCUUCUGUCUUGAAGAAAGUACAUCAUACAUUUGACUACUCACAGGCAGUUUCAAUUCCUCACCAUGUUUGCCAAGUUGGGCCACUUUACUUUGCUACCCCUAGAAAAGUUCAGCUUUUCGGAGUAGCCAUGGAAGGUUUAAGGAAGCAGUACAAUUUCCUUGUUGAUGAAGAUUCCACACCCAGGGAAAAUGGCACAAAGAUCAAAGGUGCACUCGGGGUUCUAUCAAUGUAACACAUUGUUUGGAAAAUUUUGGAUGUGGGGAAAAAAGAGUGUCAUCUGCAUUGUGAUAACGCUUCAGGAGGAAACAAAAACAGGUUUGUGAUUGCCUAUUUAUUCUGGAGAGUUCUUAGUGGUAAACAUGAGAUAAUUCAUCUCUAUAUGCAAGUUCCAUACCAUGAAAAAAGCCUUGUUGACGCUGGGUUCGCGUACAUAAAGAAACUUUACAGGAGAUAUGAGGCGGACUCCCUGGAUCAGCUGGCAAACGUUGUUCGGAAGAGUUCAAAAUCAAAUGAAGUCGUUGUUUUUGGUGGAACAGAGGGGCAUUGGCUAGAUUGGAAGACGUUUACCCAAGACUACUUCCCUUCAAGGGUAUAAGAAAAUACCGGCAUUUCGUCUUCAAGGCAGAAAACGAAGGUGUUAUUGAAGCUAGCGAUGCACCGGAAUCUUCAGUCACUAAAGUUAAAUUGUUGAAACUUGGAGUUGACAUAGGAUCCAUCCAGCCCCCUGUGAUCAUUCCAGCCGCUGGGUUGUCAGCUGACCGACAGAAAUAUCUAUAUAAAUUAAUUAGACCAUUUGUUCGGUGUCCAUGGAAAGAUGCUGUUGCUCAACCACCCGAAGACCAAGAAGAAUAAUUCAUUCUUCAAACGUUUUUUAUAUAAAUGUUAAUAACAUCUAAAAUAAAUGACAUACGUUCUGGACAGCAUCAAAAACUGAUAACUACAACCCCUAGUAAUUUACCGAUGUAGAAAGUAGGAACUCAUAAUGUACUUAGAGAAAAUUUUUACUUUGUUCGUUCCUGUUAAAAAAAUUCAAAGCGCAACAUUAAUUCGUCUUCUUAAUUUAUCAAAUUUUGCUAAAUUCGAGCAUGAAUAAUAGUUAACUGUUAUAAUUGGAUGUAAAUAUGAGUAUCAAUUCAUAAUUAUCAUCUUAAAAUGGAUAUAUUAAAGGUGUCACUGUGAAUAAUAUGCCAUACUUUUGUGAAAAAUUACACUGACGUCAAGAAAUAAAUGCGACGUUUUUAUUGAA